GACGAACGCUGGCGGCGUGCUUAACACAUGCAAGUCGAACGGAAAGGCCCUGCUUUUGUGGGGUGCUCGAGUGGCGAACGGGUGAGUAACACGUGAGUAACCUGCCCUUGACUUUGGUAUAACUUCAGGAAACUGGGGCUAAUACCGGAUAGGAGCUCCUUCUGCAUGGUGGGGGUUGGAAAGUUUCGGCGGUUGGGGAUGGACUCGCGGCUUAUCAGCUUGUUGGUGGGGUAGUGGCUUACCAAGGCUUUGACGGGUAGCCGGCCUGAGAGGGUGACCGGCCACAUUGGGACUGAGAUACGGCCCAGACUCCUACGGGAGGCAGCAGGGGGGAAUAUUGCACAAUGGGCGGAAGCCUGAUGCAGCAACGCCGCGUGCGGGAUGACGGCCUUCGGGUUGUAAACCGCUUUCGCCUGUGACGAAGCGUGAGUGACGGUAAUGGGUAAAGAAGCACCGGCUAACUACGUG
rnacentral:rRNA from 1 species